AUUGAACGCUGGCGGCAUGCCUUACACAUGCAAGUCGAACGGUAACAGGUUAAGCUGCCGCGUGGCGAACGGGUGAGUAAUACAUCGGAACGUGCCCAGUAGUGGGGGAUAGCCCGGCGAAAGCCGGAUUAAUACCGCAUACGACCUAAGGGUGAGAGGGGGGGAUCGCAAGACCUCUCGCUAUUGGAGCGGCCGAUGUCAGAUUAGCUAGUUGGGGGGGUAAAAGCUCACCAAGGCGACGAUCUGUAGCUGGUCUGAGAGGACGACCAGCCACACUGGGACUGAGACACGGCCCAGACUCCUACGGGAGGCAGCAGUGGGGAAUUUUGGACAAUGGGCGCAAGCCUGAUCCAGCCAUGCCGCGUGCGGGAAGAAGGCCUUCGGGUUGUAAACCGCUUUUGUCAGGGAAGAAAUCCUUUGGGUUAAUACCUCGGGGGGAUGACGGUACCUGAAGAAUAAGCACCGGCUAACUACGUG
rnacentral:rRNA from 1 species